rnacentral:rRNA from 1 species
AGUGAACGCUGGCGGUAGGCCUAACACAUGCAAGUCGAACGGCAGCACAGUAGGAGCUUGCUCUUACGGGUGGCGAGUGGCGGACGGGUGAGGAAUACAUCGGAAUCUACUUUUUCGUGGGGGAUAACGUAGGGAAACUUACGCUAAUACCGCAUACGACCUACGGGUGAUAGCAGGGGAUCUUCGGACCUUGCGCGAUUGAAUGAGCCGAUGUCGGAUUAGCUAGUUGGCGGGGUAAGGCCCACCAAGGCGACGAUCCGUAGCUGGUCUGAGAGGAUGAUCAGCCACACUGGAACUGAGACACGGUCCAGACUCCUACGGGAGGCAGCAGUGGGGAAUAUUGGACAAUGGGCGCAAGCCUGAUCCAGCCAUACCGCGUGGGUGAAGAAGGCCUUCGGGUUGUAAAGCCCUUUUGUUGGGAAAGAAAAGCAGCAGGUUAAUACCCCGCUGUUCUGACGGUACCCAAAGAAUAAGCACCGGCUAACUUCGUG